GUCUGUGAGGUCCUAGCACCUGCUUCCGGUCGCCGUAUGCGUGGGACCGGAGCACAUAGGUGCGGUACCUUGGGACUACCGGGAGGGCGCGGGGCUCUGCGUCCUCUACACAGAGCGGGAUGGGUCCGUACUUCUGUCCUCUCUUUUGUUACCCAGGCAUGCGGCCUUGAGCGGUGCCCAGCCUUGAAGUGUUGCACCUCACACUUGAGGGCAUUAGCUGUGGGUAUCUGGCCGCAGACCCUGACCCAAACCAGGUAUGAAGAAAAGGUAGGCUUGAGAGAAGGUGCUGCUUUACCGGUCCAACAGAGUGUCCGAACUCCUGCCUCAGCAUCCGGAGUAGCUGGGAUUAUAGGACUGCGCCUCGCACGCAGCUAAUUUUUGUAUUUUUAUUAGAAAUGGGGUUUCACCAUUUGUGCACACCAAGAGAUGUUUGUCACUGCGGCGGCCGUGAACAGCUCGCACUGCACUCCAGCCAUUUAUUAUUUAUUUCGUAUACAAUUAACGACACAAGCUUUGAGUAAACAAGCUUUGAGUAAACACACUUGUGGAUAAUUGACGUGGUUAAGAGAAUAGUUCUAGGAAUGAUUACAGCUCAGGUAUUGAGGUCUAAGGCAAAUACCAUUAGGGGGCAGUCUCCCUAGUCAGCCUCCCCCAAAGAGGGCCAUCUGGCUCCAAGGUUAGUUAAUGGAGGUAGGGUAAACAGACUUAACUGGGAAGCCUCUAUUGCCGCUAGUAUUUACUCUAUGACCUACUGCUGUAAGGUGAGAACCGGCCGCCUUUAGCCUGUUCAGUUAUUUCAGCCGUCCAAAAAUGUUUGUGACUAUUCCCUAUAACUUUCCCUAAUAUUUCCCUGUAAUAUUUCUGCCUCCAGCUUGAGUGAAUGCCCAACAUAGCCUCAGUUUUGCUGUUUGCAAAAUAGCCUGGUUGAUGCUGAGGGCGCACCUUGAUGGAAGCAUCCUACAUGGUAGCGGUUCUUCACCAGGCAGGGUUUUGCCUCCCUGAGAGCAUCCUGUAAUGGCAUGUCAGGAGACAUUUUGGAUGUCACAGCUGGCCUGGAGGGAUGGGGUCACUGGCAUUUAGUGGGGUCCUGACCAGGGAUGGUACUAAAUUUCUGCAGUGCACAGGAAUGUCCUAUGCAACCAUAAGAAAUUACCCACGGGGUCAACAGUGUAGAGGCACAGAAGAUCUGCCAAGUGGCCUGGCUGCUAAGGGUAAUCAGCACCAGAGACAUCACCUGGGAGCCACUUGUAAAUGUAGAAGCAGCGAUUCCAUUCUACCCCAGCCCAGUGAGAAUCUGCAUUUUAACACAAGUGCAUGAGUGUUUGAGAACCUACUGUAAGGAUCUGAGACAUUAACAAACCCGGUCAUAGCACAUGUGAACUUCACCAGCCAAGAGGAAUUCAAGUAGAAUUCAAAGAAUAAAACCCUGUUUUAAACUCAAGACAGAAUUACGCUGAGCUUUACCCAAAGCCUCAACAGAAUUAACACUGGGAAACAUAUGUUGAAACCUCAUGUUCACCAGAGGCUUCACAGAUCUGUAAACCUUCCUGCAUACUCUGUGUAUGUGUAGACUGUUGACCUGCUUGUUUAUGUAUAUAAUUUCUUCAUUUCAAAACUCUGCCCAUUAGGAUAAAGAAUUUGCAUUUCACUAAUUUAAAAAAAGAAAAAAUCCUUCAGGUCAGAGAGGUAAGGCUACUAGCCGAAGUCACACAGCUAGUAAGCCAAGCUGAGAUAUGACUCAGGAUUGAUCCGAUUCUAAAUAUAAAUGAUGUUGAGCUCAUCUUAAAUUGUGAAUGUGACCUUGUUCCUGCUUAUCAUAUUGCUGGGUAGCUCACUUGAAUUUUCUUUUAAAAAGGCACACAAAAACCAGUCUCUUCAUUUUAUGAACACAGAGAUACAAAUUGAUGAAUUCCAAAGGAAAAAUACUCCCUAUAGAGGUCGCUAAUUGGAGCCAACGGUGUACACAGCUACUAAAUUUGAAAUGAGUCAUUUUCAGAAAACUUCUGGGAUACGUCUCCCUUUCAAAUAAAAAUAGUAUGGUUUUAUUUAGAAUCUUCACAUAAACUGGAUACAGGCAUACCUGAAAUUUUGUGGAUUCAGUUCCAGACCAUCACAGUAAAGCAAACAUUGCAAUAAAGAGCUGAGAAACCAAUUGUCAGAAACAAGGCAUCCCCUUUGCCCAGGCCACCAAAUUGGGGUCCGCAUCGUUCAAGAUGAAGAUGAGCCGCCACAAGGAGUUCGUCAGCUUGUUUACCGAUGUCAUGCUGGGAGAUGACCCCGAAGUGCAGCGUGGCAAGCCAGACCCCAACAUCUUCCUAGCUUGUGCACUAGGUUCUCUCCCCCUCCUGCUAUGGAGAAGGCUUUAAAAUCUGAAAAGAACACAUUAGUGUUUCAUCCACACUCAUCAUGGCACCUACACUGUCAAACUCUCCACAAUAAUUGGGCACCGAAAACAGAGUGACCAACUACCUCUUUGCAAAAAAUUCAUAUCCAUCUUCAACCACCUGAUGGGCUCUACAUGUAAGAUCCAAAUCAUGCUUAUGGAGACAUUUUGCAACCACUUCUGCACCAAAUAUGAAGUACACUCCUCUGUCAUUUUCACCCCAGCCUAAGACAUCUUUAUUGGGGUCAGACCACAAAAGAUCACAAAGAAGACCUUGAUCUGGUACAUCAGUUGGUCGCAUAAUUCGCCGGAUCUGCUCCAUAGAUUGAAGAUCUGGUGAUAAACCUCCAUGACAGCAGAAUAUCUUCUCAUCCACGAUGGCUGCUAUCGGUAAACAGUUAAAACAGUCUGUGAAAGUUUUCCAUAGUUUAAUGUUGUAUCUUCUUUUACAUUCAUCAUGAAAUCCAUAAAUUCUGUUGAUGUUGGCACAUUCAUGGUUCCCUCUGAGAAGAAAAGAAUUCUCAGGAUAUUUGAUUUUGUAGGCCAGUAAGAGGCAGAUCGUCUCCAAUGACUGCUUUCCCCUGUCCACAUAGUCCCCAAGAAACAGGUAGUUGCUUUCUGGCGGGAAACCACCUUACUCAAAAAGUCGCAGCAAAUCGUAGUAUUGGCCAUGGAUGUCACCACAUAUUUUGAGUGGUGCCUCAAGUUCUAGUAGGAUAGGCUGAUUGAGAAAGAUUUCACGAGAUUUUAAACACAGUCCUCUGACUUCAUUCUCCUGAAGCUGGACGAAUUUACCAGGCUUGGACCCUUUCACUUCCAGCAGCGGUUGGAUGAUGCUGUCGAUGUUGAGUUUGUCUAAAUCCUCCAUCGCCUUCCCACUGCCUACCCUCCCGCAGGGGCGCCGCCGCCGGCUCGCGCCCAGGACUCACACCUCCUUUCCCACGCCACGAGCAGAGGCGGUGGCAGCAGCCGCGGCGGGUCCCCCCCACCCCGCCUCCCCGCUCCCUGCUUCCUCCUCUCCCCACUGGAACCGCGAGAGCUUGAGUGUUGUUUUAUACUAACUAUUGAAUACUUGCAAAAAUGAUCAGGGAAUCAGAGCUUACAAUACAUUGACCACUGCACCCAACACCUUGGGUGGCAGAAUGUUGUCAGCACAUCCGCAGCCCCAGUGUGCCGCCUCCUGAAUUCUAUCCUGCUCACUCUACUGCGCACCAUAAAUGAUCUCCCCAAUUUUUGUGGUAUUAUUCUCUGGUUUUUCUUUAUAGUUUUACCCUCUGUGAAACAAUAUAGAGUCAGAAUGUUGACCAAGCAUACAACUUUAUUAUCCUCUCCGGCCACCGUUUUCAAACACCUGGAGAGAUCAUCACACUCAAAAGAAUAAAAUAUCUUCCAGCCAUUUUUGGUCAUAAAACAUUUUCAUCUCAGAAAUUGGAAUAGUCAGUCCCUCUUAAUAGUCAAAACUUCAAAACUGACGACAUUUGAUCUUUUUUCUUCCCUACCUGAAUAUGUUUAGACAGGUGCCUCAGGUAGCCUGCAGAGGGCAGAGGUUGCCUCCUUUUUCUUGGUGCUUUCCAGGGCUCCUUGGAGAUUUUCAGGUGAACUCCUUCACAGGAGAUGAGGAAGAGUAUCUAUAUUCUGCUGGGUGCCUAUAGUUCUGUCUUAUUCUCAGAAAGUCCAGUACCACCAAGGAAUUCCAUGCCAGCCUCCUCUAAUUUAGGAAAUGUGGGGUCCAUCUAAUUUAGGAAAUGUGGAUUGAUCCCAUUACUGCAGCCCCUCCUGAUGCUGCCUCUCUUCUGUACACUAGACACCCCAGCUGAGUGAGAACGUAGUCCACAAUCCAAUUUAACUUUCCCAGAAAUGGGUCAGACACCCCUUCUCCAUAUCUUCCAACUGCAAGGAUCAUUUCAAAGCAUUGUCAGGAUCUCUUUGAAGCUCGCCUAUUAGGCAAGGGACCAGUAAUAAUAACCUGUUUUCCCCUGAUUUUUCCAAAGAAAACUCUUCACCAGCAUUAGAUUUGAUCUAGUUGUUAUAUUCUCAAAGUAAGUGAAAAUAUUUGCCAGUCUUGAAGCAAGUUUUAGAGUCUCCCAGUACAUUGUCAGCAUUUCCUAUUGAAAACCCACUAUAUGCAAUUUGCCCCUACGCUUACAUUUAUAGCUGGUUUGGGAACCUCAGCUAAUAUUUCUAGAUUUUUAAGUUCUGCCAAUCUGAUAAGUACAAAACGAUAUCUGUAUCUCAUUUUCUGAUGCUUAAUGAGAUUGAACAUCUUUCCAUAUGACUUUUUUUAACCUCUUUUACAAAGUCUUCAGGUAUUUUCACUUUUUUUUUUCUUUUUGUAUACAUUUGUAAGAGUUUUUAAUUUAUUCUAGAGACUGAGUCAUGGUGAGUUACAUGUUGCAAAUAUAUUUUAUUUAUAACUUGUUUUUUUUCUCUUUAUGACAUUUUUUUACAAACUGAAAUUUGUUGAAUGUAGUCAAGUUUGUGUCUCUUUUCAAUUAUAGCUUUUGAUUAUUAUUUUGUCAGUUUAAGAAAUGCUUUCCUGUCCGUGCAACAUGAGAUUGUCUCCUUAAUUGUUUUGUGAAGUGUUAUAGCUUUGACUUUGGCAUUUAAAUUUUUCAACCUUCUGGAUUUGAAUUUUGUGUAGAGUAUGAGGUGUAGUUUCAGUUCUCCUUUUUUCUCUGUGUAUAAAUAGCCACUGUCCUAGCGCCAUUUAUUUCAUAUUUUUCCACACAUCCAAAAAUCUCUUUCUGUUAUACAUGAAAAUUCAAGGGACUUAAGUCUGUUUCUCGGAUCUCGACUCUUUUCAUUGGUCAAUGUGUCUGUUCCUGCCCCAAAUGGCUCUUUAUCUUUUAAAUUGUCUCAUGUAUCUGUGCCAUUCCUAAUUCUACAUGGAUUUAACCCCAAAACUUUAUAUUAAUUCUAAAUAGAAUUAGUUUUUCAGUCUUCUUUUUUUCAGAAGAGUCUUGGUUAUUUACGGCUCUUUCUUCUUUCAUAUACAUUUUAGAACGAAUUUUUCCUAAAAUCUUGUUGGCAUUUGACUGAAACUGCAUAAAAUUAUCUAGAUUGAGUAAUGACUUGUUGAAAAUAUUGUGCCUUCCUAUUCAAGAUUAUGCUAUAACUCUUCAUUUAUGUUUACUUUAUUAUCUUUCAGUAUUUCUAUAAUUUUUCAAUAAAAUGUUUUCAAACCAGUUUUAUUCUAUUCAGCACUAACUUUUUAUAUUUUUAUGCCUUUCAUGAAUGCUAUCUUCUGAAAAUAUAUAUUCUGUUUUUUACCAGUAUUGUAGAUAAAAAGUAUUAAUGUUUUCAAAAAUCCUCAGUAAUUCUAAUAAUGUUUCUAAAUAUUCCUUUAGGUUUGAGGGUUUUUUUAGAUAAGCAAUGAAUAAGCAGCCAAAGAUAACAGCUUUUUUCUUUGUAAUAUUUAAACACUUUAUUGUUUGUUUAUUUUAUUGAGCUAGACUUCUCCCCAAUAUGAAGCUCAAUGUUAUUAUUUAAUAUUAUAUUAAUUGUAAAAAUAAACUAGAUGUUCCUCCUCAAAGAGAGUUCCCUCUCCAUCUAAUUAUGAAUUAAUCAUAACUUCUCUUAGAGGCAAAAUUUAUUCAAAGACCUGUGCUAACAUUCUUAAAUAUCUACUAACCAUAAUAAAGAACAAUGUUCUUUAUGUUCUUCGCUUCCACAAUUUAGUCUAAAUAUUUGACCUCUCAUGCUUAUGCUGGUCCAAAUGGGCAUUAGAGUAUAGCCUGUUCCUUUUCCUUAUUUGGAGGUGUUUUUACCUUUCUCAACAUUCCACAAGUUAAUUCCUGCUUCCUUUGUUGUCCUCUGCCUUUUGCCUCUUUUAAAAAGUUCUAAGUUACUAGCCAAUCCAGACAAAUACAGAAUGUGAGGUUCUAUUCCAACCAGUGGAAACCAGACACGGCAGUAGGGUGAACGCUUUGGGUUAUAAAUGACCCUGUCUCCUUUGUUUGGUUUCCUCCAGUGGCAAAACGGCUGAUGCGUGUACCCCUUCUGCAGGAGUAAAAAUGGCCUUACAGAGGAAAUUAAAUUAGUGUUCAGGUACUAUUUCUUUAUGGCACUGGGGAACAAGCAUUUCUAAUGUAUUAAUCACAUAAUACAAUCCUACUUACUUAUUGUUAAACAGGAAAACUUUUUCCUUUUCACAAUUAUAUAAGAUGUUUCAAUUAAGUUUCUUAAAGUAGAUAUUUAUCAGGAGAAGGGAGUUACUUUCUAUUCCUAAUUUGCUCAGAAUUUGUAAAAAAAAUUCAGGAAUAUAAUAGUGAUUUUAUCAAAUGCUUUUUCUUCAUCUGCUAAAAUGAUCAUUAUAGGUUUUUCUGUGAUUAAUGAGUUGGUGUUUUUUAAUGUUAAUCCAGUUUUGUAUUUCUAAUUUGUAUUUUUGUAUGUCCAAUCUGUUCAUUAUGUGAUUGAAUUGUUAUUUAAUUAUUCUUUAUGCAUUGUUUUAUUCAUAUUUUGUUUAAGAUAUAUGCUCCUAUAUUUAAUAAAAAUGUCUUUCCUUGUAUGAUUUGCUUAUGCAAGUCAACUAGUCUCAGAAAAUUAACUGGGGUAAGUUUCUUAUGUUUUGCUCCUUGGAGGAGUUACAUUGGUUUGGCAUUAUGUGCUGUCUGUGAGAAUUAACAUAUGAAACCAAUUGGGUCUAGAUUUUUCUUUGGUGGAAAGAUUUUUAAACUACUGAUUCAGUUUUUGUGUUUUUUUUUUUUUUCUUUAUUUUUUAGUUUGUCAGUGUCUUCUUGAGUCAGUUAUAUUUUUCUAGGAUUUUGAACGUUUAAGUUUUCCAGUUUGUUGGUGUAGAGCUGUCAAGGCUAUCAUUUUUAUCUCUUUAGUACUUAUAUUUAUGGGUUUUACAACUUCCAGUAGUGUGUGUUUGUUUCUUUUUCUUCAAACAGACUUGCAAGAGGUUUUUCAGUCUUAGUACAUUAGUAUUUACAGUACUAAGAAUAAAGUAUGAAGUAAUUUAUGGAGGGUUUAAUUCUCUACUUUAUGGAGGCUUAAAGACAGCCUAGCUUCCUGUGGUGAAUAUGCAGUAUAUUGAUUUCUAUCCUAUUUUCACUUCUAAUCUCUAUAUUUAAGGCUUUAAGUUUUCCACUAGGUACUGCCCUAUUGGUAUCCUCUUGCUUUUUAACUAUUGUUUUCAUGUAUGUUCAGUUUCCAUUACAAUUUAUUUUUUGACCCUGGGUUUUUUAUUUUAUUUAUUUGUUUAUUUAUUUAUUUAUUUAUUUAUUACAUUCUUAGGUUAUUGGAGAACAGAUGGUGUUUGGUUACAUGUUCUUUAGUGGUGAUUUAUGAGAUUUUGGAGCGCCCAUCACCUGAGCGGUGUACACUGCACCCUAUUUGUAGUGGAAACCCUUGAGAUCUAAAACGUGUGUUUUAAAAUUUCUGUAUGGGAUUUUGCUAGUGAUCUCUGCAUUCUUGAUUUCUAACAAUGCGUAUGGGAAAAAUGUGUCUAUAUACACUAACGUGAUGAAAUUUAUUGAAAACCUGCUUUAUGAACUAGUAAGUGGUCAAUUUUUGUUACUAUUUUAUGUACUACAUUAUAUUGGAAGAAUGUAUUUUUACUUUGCAGGCUGUAAUGUUGUCAUAUGAAGUUGAGAUGUUUCUUUUUCUUAUAUAUUCUAUUUUUAAGUUUUCGUCAUGUAGAGAAAUUAUUAAAUUGCUGAGCAAUG